rnacentral:rRNA from 1 species
GACGAACGCUGGCGGCGUGCUUAACACAUGCAAGUCGAACGGAAAGGCCCUGCUUUUGUGGGGUGCUCGAGUGGCGAACGGGUGAGUAACACGUGAGUAACCUGCCCUUGACUUUGGGAUAACUUCAGGAAACUGGGGCUAAUACCGGAUAGGAGCUCCUGCUGCAUGGUGGGGGUUGGAAAGUUUCGGCGGUUGGGGAUGGACUCGCGGCUUAUCAGCUUGUUGGUGGGGGAGUGGCUUACCAAGGCUGUGACGGGUAGCCGGCCUGAGAGGGUGACCGGCGACAUUGGGACUGAGAGAGGGCCCAGAGUGCAACGGGAGGCAGCAGUGGGGAAUAUUGCACAAUGGGCGGAAGCGUGAUGCAGAAACGCCGGGUGCGGGAUGACGGCCUUCGGGUUGUAAACCGCUUUCGCCUGUGACGAAGCGGGAGUGACGGUAAUGGGUAAAGAAGCACCGGCUAACUACGUG